rnacentral:pre_miRNA from 1 species
AACUUUCUGCAUUUAUGUGAAGAUUUUGUCAGAAACCAACCCAUUAGGACUGACACGUCUUCUAAGAUAAGUGAAGUG